GAUGAACGCUGGCGGCGUGCUUAACACAUGCAAGUCGAACGGAAAGGCCCAAGCUUGCUUGGGUACUCGAGUGGCGAACGGGUGAGUAACACGUGGGUGAUCUGCCCUGCACUUCGGGAUAAGCCUGGGAAACUGGGUCUAAUACCGGAUAGGACCACAUUUUGGAUGGUGUGGUGGAAAGUUUUUCGGUGUGGGAUGAGCUCGCGGCCUAUCAGCUUGUUGGUGGGGUAAUGGCCUACCAAGGCGUCGACGGGUAGCCGGCCUGAGAGGGUGUACGGCCUCAUUGGGACUGAGAUACGGCGCAGACGCCUACGGGAGGCAGCAGUGGGGAAUUUUGCACAAUGGGCGCAAGCCUGAUGCAGCGACGCCGCGUGGGGGAUGACGGCCUUCGGGUUGUAAACUCCUUUCGCUAGGGACGAAGCGCAAGUGACGGUACCUGGAGAAGAAGCACCGGCUAACUACGUG
rnacentral:rRNA from 1 species